UACGUAGGGUGCGAGCGUUAAUCGGAAUUACUGGGCGUAAAGCGUGCGCAGGCGGCUUUGCAAGACAGAUGUGAAAUCCCCGGGCUUAACCUGGGAACUGCAUUUGUGACUGCAUAGCUCGAGUGCGGCAGAGGGGGAUGGAAUUCCGCGUGUAGCAGUGAAAUGCGUAGAUAUGCGGAGGAACACCGAUGGCGAAGGCAAUCCCCUGGGCCUGCACUGACGCUCAUGCACGAAAGCGUGGGGAGCAAACAGG
rnacentral:rRNA from 1 species